AAUUAGACUUUAUUUAAUAUCCCUAAUUAGUGGUCAAAACAUCGUUUCUCUCUCAUCAAAAUGUUUUCACGCCACAACCAAACACGGCCUUUAACUUCUCCAGCAAUUAGCAAACCAUACCCAAUUGAUUAGCAGGAGGUCUGAUCCUGCAAUACAAAAGCUAUAUGUUCCUUCUUUAGCACACUGUACUUAGUACUGAUUGUUUAGGGGUAAUUUUUUCUAACUGUAUUUAGUACUGCAUGUUGUGUAUCUCGCGGUCGGCCUCCCAGGCUACUGUAGGUCACCGUGCCCUUUUCUUCUCGUUCUUAUUAUCAGAUUUUGCUUCAUGUAGCUAACGAUAGGUUUUUGUUUUGGAGGAGGGAAGUGCUGUUCUGGGUCUGUUGCUGCUCGACAAAGGGAAGCAACGCCUUUUAGGCUUUAGGUUAGGUAUGCAAUUAAAAGCUGAGAAGGAUGCAAAAUUUGAGCUCGUGCUUGAAACAUGGGUUCGCUUGAAGCUACUUUUUGGCAGUAUUGUCAGAUUUUGUGCUAGAUUAACUAGACUUAAACUUAUUUCUUGCUGGAUCAAAAAACUUUGAUGUUGUAUGUAUGUGAUGAGAUGUUGGAUCAGAAUUUAUCUAUAUAUAUGAGCUGGUUUAUAUCUU